GAUGAACGCUUGCUACAGGCUUAACACAUGCAAGUCGUGGGGCAGCGGAUACUUAGCUUGCUAAGUAUGCCGGCGACACGCGCACGGGUGAGUAACGCGUACUGAACCUGCCCAUCACACAGGGAUAGGCUUGCGAAAGCAAGAUUAAUAUCUGAUGCUUUCAAUUUUUUGCAUGUAUGAUUGAGUAAAGCUUUCGGGCGGUGAUGGAUGGCGGUGCGUCCUAUUAGGAAGUUGGCGGGGUAACGGCGUACCAAUUCUUCGAUGGGUAAGGGUUCUGAGAGGAAGGUCCCCCACAUGGGAACUGGGAAACAUUCCAAACUCCAACGGGACGCAGCAGUGAGGAAUAGUAGUCAAUGGGCGAGAGACUGAACCAGCCAAGUAGCGAGCGGGAUGAAGGCCCUGGGGGACGAAAGCCGCUUGGAUCAGUAAAUAAAGUGCACCACAUGUGGUGUCAUUGCAGGUAGCUGAAGAAAAAGGACCGGCUAAUUCCGUG
rnacentral:rRNA from 1 species